rnacentral:sRNA from 1 species
GACAAGAUCUUGCUAUCUAGCCCAGCCUGAUCAUCGAUUCCAUGAUCCUCCUGAAUCAGCCUCCCAAACGCUGAGAUUACGGUCGUGAGGCUACACCAUGCUGGCCUUGGUGUUGUGAUUUGGGGAAAGUACUUACUUUCCCUGAGCCUCCCUUUUACAUACUGGAGUCUCCUUAGUGUUAAAUUACACAUGAUUUUGAGAAGUGUAAUUCUGGAAGUUUCCUGCAUUGCAGCAGAUUAUAUGAGAAUAAGGAAGGCGGGAUUGGGGAUACAGGAAGUGUCAAAAUGACAGCGGUGUAAAAGGACUGUUGACAGCUCAGGAUAGGACAAAUAAGAAAUGAAGUGAGACAGGUAUGUAAGAGGAAGGAAUUUUAUUUCACAAAUAAUUUAUUGUCUUCACGCAACCCUCCGCUUCAUGGUCAUCAGCGCAGCACAGGGUGGCCAUGAGAUGCUUCUAGCAAGAUGAGGAAGGGAAUUGAUAAACCCACAUGUGAUUUAAAUUUCCCCAAGAGAGAGUGACUGAAUGAAUUUGGACGAUCUGAAUAUGAUAUUCAGAUGAGGAGGGGCUCAGACUGUUGACAUUUGGACCUAAGGCUGGAUUCUGUUCCCAUCGCCUAUGAGCUAUAAAACUUCAGAUCUUGUUUUCUUCUUGGUAAAACCCAACUAAGUGUUGGGACCACAGACAGGAACAAAUGGUGAGUGAGGAGGUGACGGGUCACAAGAUCAGAAUGCUUGGAAGGUUCCUGAUCUGAUGUCAUAACUCUGAUUGGCCACUGCUCUGAUAGGGUGACCAUCAGGGAAAUGCUGACCUCUGUGCUUGUAGAUCUGGCAAGAGACCUCAGAAGUGGUGAAGGAGAGAACAUGUGGGGUGCUUCAUAGACAAUGUAGAAAAGGCUGGAAGGCUUAGUAUGGUUGUGAGCACUCAUCUCACUCUCAAGAAACCUCCACUGUCCUUUCUGUAGAGAAGCAUGCGCUGACACAAGCUUCCUGUUGAGGACCAUCAUCCUUUACACAGGCCUUCUGUGAAUGGUCGUCUAAUGAUGAAUGAGUGAAUGAGCCUCCUGACAAGGUGAGGAAGACAGCACUGCCAACUGGACAAUGGAGCAUUUCUCCCACCGGAAGCUUAGCAGUGAGACCAGGAGAGCGAGUGGAAAAGAUGAUCCACUGACUAUCAAGUGCAGAGGACUGGCGAGUUUAUUGGGAGAGUUAAAGAGCAGAUCCCGGACGUACCCUAUGAAACUACAGGAGAGAGAUUGUUUAUUUGCAAACUGCCUGAGAGCGACUUUGGGCAGCAUGAAGACAAGACCCUCUUUCAGCAGAUGUUUGUGGAGCUCUCUGUGAAGGCCUGUACUUGGGCUCUCAAGGAGGCAGGGGAAGGUCAGCUGAGAAUAUGGGAAAGUGGAGGAGGAGAAGGAUGCCAGGGUUAGGACUACAAGAGGACAACAACCAAAAGGUUUGGAAAUUAGCAUGAGAUCAGGUGUCUAAUGCAUAAAAGAAAUCAUCUCCUGUAGGACACAAACCACAGUGAGGCAGGGGCUCAGUAUUUUCUCUGGUUGGACCCUGUAAUGGAAGGUCACAACUGAAACACCCCAAUGUUAAUAGCCUCGUGACACUGACUGCCUCUACGAGUCAGCACUUUCUAAGGAAAUUGACUUUGAUUUGUCUCACUCCACCUCACAGCUGUGGAAGCAAUGAGGAUUUACAUACCUUUCCCAUGCUGAUCUGGUAUUCCAUCAUGGUUGUCUGAUCCCAGAGCCUGAGCUCUUACCCACUGUACUAUACUCUUCCUGAGACACUUAAUACUUUGACCAAAGGCCAUUUUUUCUCAGGGCCCUUUAUAAACACAAGCCUGAGAUCUAUAGGUGUGUCGAAAUGGGAGCAUCUGAUAUAGUGGCCCCAGGGUUCUCUAUCAGACACUGGUGCUCCACUUAAGCCUCUAAAUCUGAGAAGAGUCUGAAGUUGGCUCCAGAGGGAGUGUGGAGAUGAUGGAUGGGUUUUUAAGAGGGGAAAUGAAGGAUGGUUGUAGGAACUGCUUGCUGUGAAGAAAAAGAGGAAGUUGAACUUCUGGGGGCGCAAACUGAAGCUUAUAUGAAAUGGAUAAAAUCUUAUGCUCUUGACAAAAGAAAAAAACAGCCUAAAAACUCCUAAUGUGAUAUCACAUCCCAUGAAGGUACAGUAGGCUGAAGAAGAUGAACUUAGGAAAAGACGAGGGAAAAGAUGUCCCUCUUUAGGGUGGGCAAGAAGUGGUCAAGCAAAACGUCUUCAUGGACUGCAUGCUUCCUACAUAACCAAGUCUGGACACUAUGGCAUGGGUGAACACAGGGGCGAAGCCUCUUCUUAGGGAGAAGUUGGCCUAGUGAGUUGUUGCACUUUUGAAUAAAACAGAUUCUAGAAUAUGAUGCAUUGGUUUCAGAAGUGAAGUCUGGAGGUCUUCUGCCAGUCUCCUCACAUGUGACUGACUGUAAAACAUUUGCGAUGUGACUAGAAAAUUUGAACUAAAUACUAGUUGCCAAGUACUUAGUAUAACGGAGUAAACUAAGAAAGCUGUCUUUUCUCUAGCAUCUACAUUUUUGGCAUUGUUGUCAAAAUUCAGGUAAUCGGAGCUAUGUAGGUUCAUAUCUGAAUCUCUUACUGCGUUCUAUUGAUCUCUCUGGGUUCAUGCUUGUACCAGUUGUACUGUUGGGAAAGUUGAGUCUCUAUUUGUAGAAGAAGGAAACUAGACUCCCUUCUUUUACCCAGCCCAGAAAUCAACUCCAAGUGCAUCAGAGACUUAGUGCAAUUCCUGAAAACCCUGAGACUGUUAAAAGAAAAUUAGGAAAACCUUUCCAGAUAUAGGCAGAGGUGAGGAGGGCUUUCUGAAUAGGUCUUUAGCCCUUAGGAAACAAUUGACAAAGGCCACAUGACGAAGUUUAAAAGCUUCUGUACAGCACGGGAAAUGGCGUUAGACUAAAGAGAAAGCCUACAGAAUUGGGGGAAAAUCUUUGUUAGCUAUUCAUCUCACAGACAUUUCAAACCAAGAAUAUGCAGUGAACUCAGGAAUUUAAAUAUUAAGAAAACAAACAAGUCAAUAAAAAUGGGUUAAUAAAAUGUUUGGGCAGUCCUUAAAAGAAUAAAAACAAAUUAAACUACUUUGAGAUUGUAUCUUGUCCCAGAGAUAAUGUCUCUCAUCUAUAAAACAGCAGCUAUGGUAGCCUGCACAAGACCUGCACAAGAUCAAGCUAGUCAGUGAUUUAGUGUGGGGGUGUGCAUGUGCCCAGAUUCAGAAGCUCGCUUCUAACUGAGAAACUAUUGAUAACUGA